rnacentral:rRNA from 1 species
ACGUUAGCGGCGGACGGGUGAGUAACACGUGGGUAACCUACCUAUAAGACUGGGAUAACUCCGGGAAACCGGGGCUAAUACCGGAUAAUACAUGAAACCGCAUGGUUUCAUGAUGAAAGACGGUUUUGCUGUCACUUAUAGAUGGACCCGCGGCGUAUUAGCUAGUUGGUAAGGUAACGGCUUACCAAGGCAACGAUACGUAGCCGACCUGAGAGGGUGAUCGGCCACACUGGAACUGAGACACGGUCCAGACUCCUACGGGAGGCAGCAGCU